rnacentral:rRNA from 1 species
AGAGUUUGAUCCUGGCUCAGGACGAACGCUGGCGGCGUGCCUAACACAUGCAAGUCGAGCGGAGACAGUGAGUAGCUUGCUAUGAGCUGUUUUAGCGGCGGACGGGUGAGUAACGCGUGAGCAACCUUUCCCAGACAGGGGAAUAACACACCGAAAGGUGUACUAAUACCGCAUAAGACCACGGGAUCACAUGGUUCUGGGGUAAAAGAUUUAUCGGUUUGGGGUGGGCUCGCGUCCGAUUAGGUAGUUGGUGAGGUAACGGCCCACCAAGCCGACGAUCGGUAGCCGACCUGAGAGGGUGAUCGGCCACAUUGGGACUGAGACACGGCCCAAACUCCUACGGGAGGCAGCAGUGGGGAAUAUUGCACAAUGGGGGAAACCCUGAUGCAGCGACGCCGCGUGAAGGAAGAAGUAUCUCGGUAUGUAAACUUCUAUCAGCAGGGAAGAUAGUGACGGUACCUGACUAAGAAGCCCCGGCUAACUACGUGCCAGCAGCCGCGGUAAUACGUAGGGGGCAAGCGUUAUCCGGAUUUACUGGGUGUAAAGGGAGCGUAGACGGUGUGGCAAGUCUGAUGUGAAAGGCAUGGGCUCAACCUGUGGACUGCAUUGGAAACUGUCAUACUUGAGUGCCGGAGGGGUAAGCGGAAUUCCUAGUGUAGCGGUGAAAUGCGUAGAUAUUAGGAGGAACACCAGUGGCGAAGGCGGCUUACUGGACGGUAACUGACGUUGAGGCUCGAAAGCGUGGGGAGCAAACAGGAUUAGAUACCCUGGUAGUCCACGCCGUAAACG